AACGAACGCUGGCGGCAGGCCUAACACAUGCAAGUCGAACGCCGUAGCAAUACGGAGUGGCAGACGGGUGAGUAACACGUGGGAACGUACCCUUCGGUUCGGGAUAACUCAGGGAAACUUGAGCUAAUACCGGAUACGUCCGAGAGGAGAAAGAUUUAUUGCCGAGGGAUCGGCCCGCGUCUGAUUAGCUUGUUGGUGAGGUAACGGCUCACCAAGGCGACGAUCAGUAGCUGGCUGAGAGGAUGAUCAGCCACAUUGGGACUGAGACACGGCCCAAACUCCUACGGGAGGCAGCAGUGGGGGAAUAUUGGACAAUGGGCGCAAGCCUGAUCCAGCCAUGCCGCGUGAGUGAUGAAGGCCCUAGGGUUGUAAAGCUCUUUUACCCGGG
rnacentral:rRNA from 1 species